ACAAAUUAACGACUCCUGCACUGAAAUAUCUCCUAACCUGAACAAAAAGAUCAGAUUUCUGAGAUCCAUGUAGUUACUGUAAAAGCUACUUUAACGUAUUAUGUAUUAUAGUUAUUUAGACAUCACUGUCUCGACUCUCAAUAAGUGUUACUAAUUUAAAACUGAUUUUACAAAGGCUUAAAACUAUUAUUUUAUAGUUUUUAGAGCUUUGUGGUGGUUUUUUUAAAGUGGUAUUUGUUUGAUAUAGAUCACUGACUCAAAAUUUCUUUACAACACCCAUA